AUCCGGGUGGCUGGAUGCGACUGUGGGGCGGCCGGCAGUUUCGGGCUGGCGACGGGGAGAGGAGUGACCCUGGCCCGCGCCCCCACUCCCGCGCUCCUCGAUUGGAAGUGACACUUGCGGAAAAGAAAAUGUGAGCAAUGCAGAAAGGACUCAGAUAGAAAGUGAAGGUCCUCUGGACUGAAGGGGACCUGGAAUUUACUUGGUGAAAAUGCAUGUCUGGAAUGCUUGUGGUGUGCCGGGUUUUAUUCCAAGUGCCUUACAUGGAUCAUCACAUUUGAAUGCUCAGAAACUCAGGAG